UAGACAUGGAAGAGCAUGAGAGACAUAUGGGAGCGAGCAUGCAAGGUAGUAUUCUUUUUUUCCUUCUAUCUUAUUUUCGUUCUUUCUUUUUCUUUUCUUUUUCUUUCUUUUUUUGGGAGGGGGGCAGGGGGAGGUAGGGGUUCACAAAGAUGGAGGGGAAGAGGGGAGAGUGCUUUGAGGGA
rnacentral:ribozyme from 1 species